CCUACGGGAGGCAGCAGUGGGGAAUAUUGGACAAUGGGGGGAACCCUGAUCCAGCCAUGCCGCGUGUGUGAAGAAGGCCCUCGGGUUGUAAAGCACUUUCAGUGAGGAAGAACGCCUGGUGGUUAAUACCCAUCAGGAAAGACAUCACUCACAGAAGAAGCACCGGCUAACUCCGUGCCAGCAGCCGCGGUAAUACGGAGGGUGCGAGCGUUAAUCGGAAUUACUGGGCGUAAAGCGCGCGUAGGUGGCUUGAUAAGCCGGUUGUGAAAGCCCCGGGCUCAACCUGGGAACGGCAUCCGGAACUGUCAAGCUAGAGUGCAGGAGAGGAAGGUAGAAUUCCCGGUGUAGCGGUGAAAUGCGUAGAGAUCGGGAGGAAUACCAGUGGCGAAGGCGGCCUUCUGGACUGACACUGACACUGAGGUGCGAAAGCGUGGGUAGCAAACAGGAUUAGAUACCAGUGUAGUC
rnacentral:rRNA from 1 species